GGGCAGCGCGCGCCCGCGCACCCCGCGGGCCGGAGGAAGCGGUGUCAUGGCGACCCCUGAGGGCCCGGUCCUGCGCUGCCGGCCGGGAGGACUUUGUGCCCCUCUGUGCCCCAGUCGUGCCCACGAGAGGGAUCUCGCUAAGGGCAAGCGGGUGGCUUCAGGCUGCUCAGGAAGAAGUCUUAACGGGGAUUCUGGACAUGGAAGGCAGCAGGGAGACCUCAGGAAGACCCCAGGGGUGUUCCAUCUCGAGAAGUCUCUUGUGCAGCAGCACCCCACCUCUCCCACCCUGUGGGCUUCAGGAGCACCACGCUUCGAUCACACAUCAGCCCCACUUGGAGCAGGGACAGCUUACAAAUAACCAAGGUGAGAACAAGGAGUGGAGUUCCCCACCUGGCUGGAGCCAUGGGGCAACAUUUCAGAGCUCACACACUCAGGAGACACAUUGGAGAGGAGGGUUAGGUGCUGAAGCAAUGCCUGUUAGUUACAGCUCAUUACAGUUAUUAUUAUUAUUGAUGUAUCUUAUUGUCAAUGCAAGAGGUGAAGUCACUUAAUCCAUCAUUUCUCAGACACGGAUGACAGAGCACGUGGUUUGGCAGAGUAAGUUUUAGGCGAGCUAGAAAUGGAUUGCACAAUAUUUAAACCUGAUUAAGUACAUAAUAGGCUUAGCAAAGGAUUACUUUUCUCCUGACAUUUUAUACAUAAAUAUAUACACACACACACACAGACAGGCAUUUUAUCAGUAGCUGCAUUUUAGUCUGGUCAAGAGACGACUGCCUAUUGCAGAAUGACUGAAGUGAUACCCUUAAAAAGGAAACUAGUCUUGGUGUGCUUUGCUGGAGAAGAUCCUUUUUGGGGUGAUUCUCAGGGGCAGGGGUCACAUCCAAGCAUCACUGGAGGGCUGGAAGGGUGAGAUAAGGGGCUGGGGACUCGCACAGUCCUGGCUGGUGGCACUCUGAGCUCCUUCCCUGUGCCAGGCAGGAGAUACUGGAGCCAAGGGGCUGGAUUGGAUUCUGUUUGGGCUGCUUUUCGAGGACUUGGAGAAAAAUUUGGCUUAUUUAAAGUGCAUUUAGAGUUGAAAAGCAUCUCGGAGAAGUAGCUUUCCCUACUCCUGCCCUGCAGCAUCCAUCCCAUUUAUGCUCCCACUCAUAAUCUUUUCCAGAGUGUGCCAGUCACCUUCCCCAAGAAGUAUUGGUUUGAGCUCAGCUGCCUCCUGCUAGAGUGCAGGAUCAUUAUUUAAUGUCCAGCAUCCCCAAACUGGGCAGGGAUUUGGGCCUGACAGGGAUUUCUGCACCAGGAAAACACACGGCCACAUCCCGCCACGCUUUUUAGGAGCGCAAGUGAGCAGUCCUUACCUCCAGCCUGGAGGUUUCCUUAAGAGACUUAAAUUAGCACAAACCUCCAAAGCUAACGGGGACAAAACUUGGCCUGGCUGUUUCCAUGAGCAGCGAGACUGUUUGGAUGUGCUGGGAUACGGAGUGGCAAGAUUUGACCCGCAGCCUUGCCCAAGCGUAGGUCCUCUGAGGAACACUCUUGUUGGUAUUACAGCUGCUUUUCAAAACAGAAGCCUUUAAAAAAACCAGACUCAGGAUGCAGAAUCUGGAAUGGGAUGGUUGUAUCCCGCAGGGAAAACCUGUCCUUGCUCCCCAAUGCACACACACGCGCACGCACACACACUGGUCCUCCACGUCAAAGUGUAAACUACUCACAACACCACACACUGAGAGAAGUUGUAGAUCCUGAGCCAGGGAGUAGAUUAGGAAUCUCUUGGCUUCCAGCAUAUCAACAGCAGGAUUGAGGGUUUCUUAUCUUUUUUUUUUUUCCCUUUUUUUUUUUUUUCCUUUAAUGCUAAAUCAGCCAGCCACCUGCUAGUUAAAAAGCAAAAGAAAAAAGAAUUCCCAAGAUUGCUUGCCCUUGCUGAGACAGUGGCAAGUGGCUGGACACUA